rnacentral:rRNA from 1 species
AUUGAACGCUGGCGGCAGGCUUAACACAUGCAAGUCGAGCGGAGAUGAGGUGCUUGCACCUUAUCUUAGCGGCGGACGGGUGAGUAAUGCUUAGGAAUCUGCCUAUUAGUGGGGGACAACAUUCCGAAAGGAAUGCUAAUACCGCAUACGUCCUACGGGAGAAAGCAGGGGAUCUUCGGACCUUGCGCUAAUAGAUGAGACUAAGACGGAUUAGCUAGUUGGUGGGGUAAAGGCCUACCAAGGCGACGAUCUGUAGCGGGUCUGAGAGGAUGAUCCGCCACACUGGGACUGAGACACGGCCCAGACUCCUACGGGAGGCAGCAGUGGGGAGUAUUGGACAAUGGGGGGAACCCUGAUCCAGCCAUGCCGCGUGUGUGAAGAAGGCCUUAUGGUUGUAAAGCACUUUAAGCGAGGAGGAGGCUACUGAGACUAAUACUCUUGGAUAGUGGACGUUACUCGCAGAAUAAGCACCGGCUAACUCUGUGCCAGCCGCCGCGGUAAAAC